rnacentral:rRNA from 1 species
UAAGGAAUAUUGGUCAAUGGACGCAAGUCUGAACCAGCCAUGCCGCGUGGAGGAUUAAGGCCCUCUGGGUUGUAAACUCCUUUUAUCUGGGAAGAAAUGUACUUUUUCUUGAGUACUUGACGGUACCAGAGGAAUAAGCACCGGCUAACUCCGUGCCAGCAGCCGCGGUAAUACGGAGGGUGCAAGCGUUAUCCGGAUUCACUGGGUUUAAAGGGUGCGUAGGUGGGCAGGUAAGUCAGUGGUGAAAUCUCCGGGCUUAACCCGGAAACUGCCGUUGAUACUAUUUAUCUUGAAUAUUGUGGAGGUAAGCGGAAUAUGUCAUGUAGCGGUGAAAUGCUUAGAUAUGACAUAGAACACCAAUUGCGAAGGCAGCUUACUACACAAUCAUUGACGCUGAGGCACGAAAGCGUGG